CAACUUUUAGCAACGGAUCUCUUGGCUCUCGCAUCGAUGAAGAACGCAGCGAAAUGCGAUAAGUAAUGUGAAUUGCAGAAUUCAGUGAAUCAUCGAAUCUUUGAACGCACCUUGCGCUCCUUGGUAUUCCGAGGAGCAUGCCUGUUUGAGUGUCAUUA
rnacentral:rRNA from 2 species